UACAGAGGACUCAAGCGUUGUUCGGAUUCACUGGGCGUAAAGGGCGCGUAGGCGGCCCCAUAAGUCAGGUGUGAAAUCUCGGGGCUCAACCCCGAAACUGCAUUUGAUACUGUGGUGCUCGAGUACUGGAGAGGAGAUUGGAAUUUACGGUGUAGCAGUGAAAUGCGUAGAUAUCGUAAGGAAGACCAGUGGCGAAGGCGAAUCUCUGGACAGCUACUGACGCUGAGGCACGAGGGCCAGGGGAGCAAACGGG
rnacentral:rRNA from 1 species